GCUGGGUGUGGUGGCACACUCCUGUAAUCCCAGCUCUACUGGAAGCUGAGGCAGGAGGAUCACAAAUUGGGGGCCAACCUAGGAACUUAGUGAGACCCUGUCUCAA
rnacentral:sRNA from 1 species